UACGGAGGAUGCGAGCGUUAUCCGGAUUUAUUGGGUUUAAAGGGUGCGUAGGCGGGCUUUUAAGUCAGCGGUAAAAAUUCGGGGCUCAACCCCGUCCGGCCGUUGAAACUGGGGGCCUUGAGUGGGCGAGAAGAAGGCGGAAUGCGUGGUGUAGCGGUGAAAUGCAUAGAUAUCACGCAGAACCCCGGUUGCGAAGGCAGCCUUCCGGCGCCCUACUGACGCUGAGGCACGAAAGUGCGGGGAUCGAACAGG
rnacentral:rRNA from 1 species